GACUCAGUGGCCUAAUGGUAUAGCGCUUGUCGAGGAACUAGAGGAUCCUGGGUUCAAUCCCCCGAUGGUGUCA
rnacentral:tRNA from 1 species